CUUUGUUUAAUUUAAGAAAGACAUACAGAUAGAUAGAAAACAGGAAAGAGAGAUUAUUAAUCUUAUUCCCUAUAAGUAUAUCUAAAAUUCCUAAUAACUACCUAAAAUUUCCUAAAAAUAUCUGUCGUCAACCACUCACUCACUAAUUGUCAGUAGCCAACUGCCAGCAGAUCCUUGCCUCAGAGAUAGACCUUCUGCUCUCUAGAGAUCUCAGAGGCAAAAGACCUUCUUCCUUCAGUGGUUGCUUCCUUUAUCUCUUCACUGACCAACUGUCCCUCCUAACUUCCUGUCAGAGGGCAGGCUACUUCCUCUCCUCAGUCCUGGUCUCUCCCUGGUAACAGAAUCUUCAGCUCUGGCUCACUGACUCCUUUCAGUUCUGAUCUACUUAGAAAUCCUGCUCUCUAGCCUCUUAAAGAGACUGAGGGUGAGAUUAAGAAAAUCCCUUUAACACUUGAAAAAGUACUGGGCAUUCCUGCCUUUGUAGUAUUACUCAUACAAUUCCCCUGGGGUACAAUUCCCUACUUAAUUCUAUCCAUAAUGGCCCACUUCACUAGUCUCCCUGAAGAUUCCAACAAAAAGAGAACUUUCUUUCUGAAUUUACUUAUAUUCAAUCAGUCAAAAGACUGAGAAAAAUAGAACCUAAUGUCCAGACUUCUGAUAUGACAUGUUGUAAUUCUUUUUAUCUACAUGAUCUUAUCUACUCAAUUUAGGAAAUUGAGUAUCUACUGUAAUUUAGGAAAGGAGGGAACAUAUUUGAGUUCUGUGUUCUCCAUGAGAUUGGAGAUCCACCAAGUAGAUAUUUAAUAGAUAUGUGUUGCCCGGUUUCAGAUGCUGACAGUUCCAGUGUAUUGGGGACAAAAUAAGAAGAGCUCACUUCAACAUCCCUUGUAAUUAAAAGCAGAAUGUGGCAGCAGUGAGCCAGGCUGAGGAUGGCUUCCAGCUGAGUCACACAUGAGUCUCUUGAAGGCUCCAAGAGAUGACGCAGCUGCUGGUUCUCAGUUCCUUCUAGAUCCUACUUUUUCUACUUUCCAGGUAUGUCUCCCUAAGUUGUCUCCUCUGCCCCUCACUUUGAGUUCUAUGGGUCUUCUACAACUGGUCUGA
rnacentral:lncRNA from 1 species